rnacentral:rRNA from 1 species
GACGAACGCUGGCGGCAUGCCUAACACAUGCAAGUCGAGCGAGCAGAUCCCUUCGGGGUGAAGCUAGCGGCGGACGGGUGAGUAACACGUGGGCAACCUGCCUCAUAGAGGGGAAUAGCCUUCCGAAAGGAAGAUUAAUACCGCAUAAGAUUGUAGCUUUGCAUGAAGCAGCAAUUAAAGGAGUAAUCCGCUAUGAGAUGGGCCCGCGGCGCAUUAGCUAGUUGGUGAGGUAACGGCUCACCAAGGCGACGAUGCGUAGCCGACCUGAGAGGGUGAUCGGCCACAUUGGGACUGAGACACGGCCCAGACUCCUACGGGAGGAAGCAGUGGGGAAUAUUGCACAAUGGGGGAAACCCUGAUGCAGCAAUGCCGCGUGAGUGAUGACGGCCUUCGGGUUGUAAAGCUCUGUCUUCGGGGACGAUAAUGACGGUACCCGAGGAGGAAGCCACGGCUAACUACGUGCCAGCAGCCGCCGUAA